rnacentral:rRNA from 1 species
UUAAACUGAAGAGUUUGAUCAUGGCUCAGAUUGAACGCUGGCGGCAGGCCUAACACAUGCAAGUCGAACGGUAACAGGAAGCAGCUUGCUGCUU